CAGGGGGCGCUGCACCCGCGCCCGCCACCCAGCCCGCUGCACCUGGCUGUCGCCUGGAUGCAAAUUACAGACCCAGCUCGCCCCCGCGCACGCGCGCGUCUCGGGGCCUGCACCUGCCCGCUCCAUCCCGCAGGCCUAACGGGACCGCGCCUCAGGCCUCCGCUCGCGACACCCAGAGACCAUGGGCACCUGCGGAGGCGCCUCCGUCGCCUCUGAAUCCAGAGCGCUUCUUCCUACCUUCCUGGUCUGCGGAGUCCAGGGUCAGCCCUGAUUUCACAGCCGCAACCCGAGCGGCCAAGCUGGGUUAACUUCGUCUCCAAGAUGAGGGCAGUACCUACCUUAUGGGAGCCGUCGUGCCCCUGAAGAGUUCUAAGAUCAUAAAACCGUGGCUUGAGGAUUUCGAUGUCCAACAGAUUCUUUAACAUGUGAUAAAUGAAUGAACCUCACCAAGUUCCAUUGCUAUGGGAACGCAGCACCGAAGUCUCGAGACAAAAAUCACAAGAACCGCUGAUGGACCCCAGCUUUUAUUUAUUUGUUUGAGAGAAAGAGCACAGAGGGAC